UACGUAGGGUGCGAGCGUUAAUCGGAAUUACUGGGCGUAAAGCGUGCGCAGGCGGUUUUGUAAGCCAGAUGUGAAAUCCCCGGGCUUAACCUGGGAAUGGCAUUUGUGACUGCACGGCUAGAGUGUGUCAGAGGGGGGUAGAAUUCCACGUGUAGCAGUGAAAUGCGUAGAUAUGUGGAGGAAUACCGAUGGCGAAGGCAGCCCCCUGGGAUAACACUGACGCUCAUGCACGAAAGCGUGGGGAGCAAACAGG
rnacentral:rRNA from 1 species